rnacentral:rRNA from 1 species
AGUGAACGCUGGCGGUAGGCCUAACACAUGCAAGUCGAACGGCAGCACAGUAAGAGCUUGCUCUUACGGGUGGCGAGUGGCGGACGGGUGAGGAAUACAUCGGAAUCUACUUUUUCGUGGGGGAUAACGGAGGGACACUUACGCUAAUACCGCAUACGACCUACGGGUGAAAGCAGGGGAGCUUCGGACCUUGCGCGACUGAAUGAGCCGAAGUCGGAUUAGCUAGUUGGCGGGGUAAAGGCCCACCAAGGCGACGAUCCGUAGCUGGUCUGAGAGGAUGAUCAGCCACACUGGAACUGAGACACGGUCCAGACUCCUACGGGAGGCAGCAGUGGGGAAUAUUCGACAAUGGGCGCAAGCCUGAUCCAGCCAUACCGCGUGGGUGAAGAAGGCCUUCGGGUUGUAAAGCCCUUUUGUUGGGAAAGAAAAGCAGCAGGUUAAUACCCCGCUGUUCUGACGGUACCCAAAGAAUAAGCACCGGCUAACUUCGUG